rnacentral:tRNA from 1 species
GGGGUUGUAGCUCAGUGGUAGAGCGCUUGCCUAGCACGUGUGAGGUAUUAGGUUCAAUUCUCAGCACCG